AAAGGAAUAGACGGGGGCCCGCACAAGCGGUGGAGCAUGUGGUUUAAUUCGAAGCAACGCGAAGAACCUUACCAGGUCUUGACAUCCCUGGACAGCCAUGGAAACAUGGUGUUCCUUCGGGACCAGGAGACAGGUGGUGCAUGGUUGUCGUCAGCUCGUGUCGUGAGAUGUUGGGUUAAGUCCCGCAACGAGCGCAACCCUUGCCUUUAGUUGCCAGCAUUAAGUUGGGGACUCUAAAGGGACUGCCGGUGACAAAUCGGAGGAAGGUGGGGAUGACGUCAAAUCAUCAUGCCCCUUAUGAUCUGGGCUACACACGUGCUACAAUGGGUGGUACAGAGGGCAGCGAAGGGGCGACCCGGAGCGAAUCCCAGAAAGCCACUCUCAGUUCGGAUUGCAGGCUGCAACUCGCCUGCAUGAAGUCGGAAUCGCUAGUAAUCGCAGGUCAGCAUACUGCGGUGAAUACGUUCCCGGGCCUUGUACACACCGCCCGU
rnacentral:rRNA from 1 species